rnacentral:rRNA from 2 species
CUGAGACACGGCCCAGACUCCUACGGGUUUGCAGCAGUGGGGAAUAUUGCACAAUGGGCGCAAGCCUGAUGCAGCGACGCCGCGUGAGGGAUGACGGCCUUCGGGUUGUAAACCUCUUUCUUCAGGGAAGAAGCGCAAGUGACGGUACCUGCAGAAGAAGCACCGGCUAACUACGUGCCAGCAGCCGCGGUAAUACGUAGGGUGCGAGCGUUGUCCGGAAUUAUUGGGCGUAAAGAGCUCGUAGGCGGCUUGUCGCGUCGGAUGUGAAAGCCCGGGGCUUAACCCCGGGUCUGCAUUCGAUACGGGCAGGCUAGAGUUCGGCAGGGGAGAUUGGAAUUCCUGGUGUAGCGGUGAAAUGCGCAGAUAUCAGGAGGAACACCGGUGGCGAAGGCGGAUCUCUGGGCCGAUACUGACGCUGAGGAGCGAAAGCGUGGGGAGCGAACAGGAUUAGAUACCCUGGUAGUCCACGCCGUAAACGUUGGGCACUAGGUGUGGGCGGCAUUCCACGUCGUCCGUGCCGCAGCUAACGCAUUAAGUGCCCCGCCUGGGGAGUA